AUUGAACGCUGGCGGCGUGCUUAACACAUGCAAGUCGAACGUGAAGGUGCAGCAAUGUACCUGAAAGUGGCGAACGGGUGAGUAACACGUAGAUAACCUACCCUGAAGUGGGGGAUAACGACGGGAAACUGUCGCUAAUACCGCAUGAGCUUGACGGUCUGGGAAUAUUGUCAAGGAAAGCUUUAGUGCUUUGGGAGGGGUCUGCGUCCGAUUAGCUAGUUGGUGAGGUAAUGGCUCACCAAGGCGAUGAUCGGUAGCUGGUCUGAGAGGAUGGUCAGCCAAACGGGAACUGAGAUACGGUCCCGACUCCUACGGGGGGCAGCAGUGAGGAAUAUUGCACAAUGGGGGAAACCCUGAUGCAGCAACGCCGCGUGGAGGAAGAAGGCCUUCGGGUUGUAAACUCCUUUUCUGGGGGACGAGAGAGGACGGUACUCCAGGAAUAAGUCACGGCUAACUACGUGCCAGCCGCCGCAGUAACAC
rnacentral:rRNA from 1 species